AUACCGUAUGAUUUCACUGAUGGGGAAUUUAAAAAGCAAAACAGAUGAACAUAGGGGAAGGGAAGGAAAAAUAAAAUAAGAUGAAAAUUGAGAGCCCAACUUCGGUUCCACGCUCAGCCGGAAGUCUACUUGGGAUUCUUUCCCUCCCCUCCCCCCGACUCCUGCAUGGGCGAGCUCUCUCUCUCUCCGAAGCAAAUUAAUAAAAAAAUAAUAAUAAUACGUUUGUGACGGAAAAUUCAGAAGGCACAAAGAAUAAAUAGGAAGUUUCCUCUCUACCCCAAUCCCUCAGCCACAUCCUUGGACAAAACCAGUGUUAUCAUUUGUUGGGAAACUGACACAAAUUAAAUGACUUGCCCCAACUCACACAGAUGUGGCUGGUGACCAACAUCUCCUAAUAAGGCCUGGUGAAAUAAAACUGAAGUAUUUUUCCCUGAAUGACAGAUAAAAUUUGACAUAUAUCAAUCAGUCUGUCUUGGACGCCAACCAAAGAGAAUAAGAAUCUCACAUAAUAACCAACUCUUUAUUUUUUUAAGUUUAUUUAUUUAAAUAAUCUCUACACCUAACGUGGGGCUUGAACUCACCAUCCCGACAUCAAGAGUCACAUG